rnacentral:lncRNA from 1 species
UGUGCAGUCUAUUGCACUGACCUGUUAUGACCUCUUAUUCUGAAAACUGAUUAGUUGAAAGGUAUUCAUGUUGUCCAAUGAAAUUGGGUCUUUUAAACAUUUUUGGGUUUAUUGUUUCAUGUCCGUUUUAUUGAAUUUCUAAAGUAUUGGUUGUACAUGUAUGCUCCUUACACAUUAUAAUUAAUACAGUUGUUACUUUCAUGUGUUUUUAUUUCUAAGAAUUUGUUAGAACUGACUCAGUAUGUAUUAGGUAAUAAAACAGUUAUUAAAUGUGUAACAGUGCAAUAGAUCAAAAUAUAUUUCCCUUGG